ACUCCUACGGGAGGCAGCAGUGGGGAAUAUUGCACAAUGGGCGCAAGCCUGAUGCAGCCAUGCCGCGUGUAUGAAGAAGGCCUUCGGGUUGUAAAGUAACUUUCAGCAGUGGAGGAAGGAUAGUGUAGUUAAUAGCUGCAUUAUUUGACGUUAAGCAUGCAGAAGGAAGCACCGGCUAACUCCGUGCCAGCAGCCGCGGUAAUACGGAGGGUGCGAGCGUUAAUCGGAAUUACUGGGCGU
rnacentral:rRNA from 1 species